rnacentral:rRNA from 1 species
GACGAACGCUUGCGGCGUGCCUAAGAAAUGCAAGUCGAGCGAGGCCAUGGAGCUUGCUCCGGAAGCCUAGCGGCGAACGGUCGCGUAACACGUAAGCAACCUGCCCCGGAGUGGGGGAUAGCCCGCCGAAAGGCGGAUUAAUACCGCAUGUGAACAUCGGAUCGCAUGUUCCGGUGUUUAAAGCAGCAAUGCGCUCCGGGAUGGGCUUGCGGCCUAUCAGCUAGUUGGUGAGGUAACGGCUCACCAAGGCGACGACGGGUAGCUGGUCUGAGAGGAUGGUCAGCCGGACUGGGACUGAGACACGGCCCAGACUCCUACGGGGGGCAGCAAUUAGGAAUCUUGCGCAAUGGGCGAAAGCCUGACGCAGCGACGCCGCGUGGAGGAUGACGGCCUUCGGGUUGUAAACUCCUUUUAAGAGGGACGAAGAUCUGACGGUACCUCUUGAAUAAGCCCCGGCUAACUACGUG